CUGAGUGAGGGCCUCCGGGUCCGACCUCCAACCCCAUGUCAUCUGACCCUGCUGCCUCGGGGGUGACCCGGCCGCCUUCGGGCGAUUUGGGGCCCCCGGUGGACCACUUAACACUGCAUCUUUGCGUCUGAGUCAAUUAUUGAAUCAAUCA
rnacentral:misc_RNA from 1 species